GGUAAUCAGAGAAGAAAAAAGGAAGUCGGUGGAGAGUUCUGUGAAGAUUUUGAAGAUUUCUAAAAAGCAGAGAAAGACGCAAAGAGAAGAGGGAGGAGGAGACUGAUGUCUUGGGGUAACUGGACACAUGUGAGGAUGGAGAUGAAAGAGGGAGAGGCCUGGAGGGCAUCUCCGUGAGAACAGCCUAGGCUUGCUUGCUGGGGGAUGAGAGACACACGGAGCUGAGUCACUCCAGCUGAGGCCAGUCUAGAUCAACCAAAGGCCAACUAACACCCAGACAAGUGGGUGGGCCCAUCCAAGUCCGAAUCCCUGGAACCUGUGGGUGUGACCGUACAGGGCAAAAAGAGCUUGGCAAAUACGAUUAAGUUAAGGAUUUCGAGAUGGGGUGUUAUCCUGGAUUCUCUGGGUGGACCCAAUGUCAUCACAUGGCUUCUUAUAAGGAGACAGACGGAGGCUUGACCACAGACAGGGGGGAAGGUGAUGUGAUGGAAGCAGAGACUGGAAGAUGCCACAUCGCUGGCUUUGAAGAUGGAGGAAGGGGCCACGAGCCAAGGAAUGCAAGGAAUGAAGCUCUAGAGGCUGAAGAAGGCCAGGAAACGGAUGCUGCUCUAGAGCCUCCGGAAGGAACUUUAGCCCAGUGAAACUGAAUUAAUCCUGAAUGCUAAGAGAAUAAUGUGUUGUUUUAAGCCAGUCUCUUGUGGUCAUUUGUUACAAUAGUCACAGGAAGCCACAGUUUCAUACCGGGAUGUGGGGAUGGUGGGUGUGGAUUAGGAAAAGGCAGUGCUCCUCCCGGGAAGUGCUGAGCUUACUUGGGCUGGAGUAGAUGAUGGGAGAGGGAGGAGCAGACAGUGGAGGAGGCAUGGAAGGGUGAGGUCAAGCUGUGACACGCCUGAAACCGUCGGCUUGAGAGAGGAAACUUGAUUUAAACAUGACUGAAAUGUGCCCAGUGGGUCCCCAAUUUAUAGAUGAGGCAGUGGCGUUCUGAGGCGCAGGCCUGCCCAACGCCACACAGCAGGCCAGUGGUUGAGCCAAGACUAAUUGGUGUGACUCAAGGUCUGAGUCACUCCUAUUCCAGCGGCUGACAGAACAGUGAAGUGGCCUGAUGAAGAGCAUUGUUGUUUUUUUUUUUAAAGAAAAAUAACUGGGCUGCAUUCGAGAGGCUGGAGCUGGCAGGGUUUCUUUGCUGGAGCACUGCUGCUAUGUCGGGCCGUAUUGCUGGUAUUGCACUGCUGAUAUUGUCAAGUCUUUGCUGUUGGGGCUGUCUUAGGCAUUGUGGGAUGGUUAGUAGCAUUCCUGGUCUCUACCCACUGGAUGCCAGGGGCACCCCUACUUACCCCACCCCAGUUUUGACAACCAAAAAUGUCGCCAGACGAUCCUGCAUGUUGCCUGUGAUAAGCUCCCCUCCUCUGAGUGAGAGGCAGGGAGCUCCGCUAAGGGCCCGAGAGAUGCCCAGGUAUUCAGUGCUGAUCCUCUAACUGAGGGUGGGAGAAGUGAGGAUGAGAAGGAAGAAAGGGAAAGCCUUUUAAAGGGGUAGAAUGGUGGCCUCGUCAUCAGACGGGAGAGAGACAGGUUGGGGUUGUGGUGGAGUGUGGCAGGGAGAGAGAAGGAGCCCCCAGGCUGUUUCAGACACGUUGAAUUUGAGGCACUGGCAGGACUCUGGGGAGGGAGGGUCAGCAGAGAGCCGGACAUGCCAAUUGGUAAUGCCGGCCCAGCCCAGCCCAUCCAGGGUCCUUGUGUGAAUGAAGAAAGAGGUCCCCUUCCUCCUGGUGGCCAUGGCCCCUGGCCAGGGACCCCACCUACUGCCUUGGCUGGACUCCCUGCACCACUUUC
rnacentral:lncRNA from 1 species